GAUGAAGAACGUAGCGAAAUGCGAUACGUAAUGUGAAUUGCAGAAUUCAGUGAAUCAUCGAAUCUUUGAACGCACAUUGCGCCCGCCAGUAUUCUGGCGGGCAUGCCUGUUCGAGCGUCAUUUCAACCAUCAAGCCCCCGGCUUGUGUUGGGGACCUGCGGCUGCCGCAGGCCCUGAAAAGCAGUGGCGGGCUCGCUGUCACACCGAGCGUAGUAGCAUACAUCUCGCUCUGGGCGUGCUGCGGGUUCCGGCCGUUAAACCACCUUCAUAACCCAAGGUUGACCUCGGAUCAGGUAGGAAGACCCGCUGAACUUAAGCAUAUCAAUAGCGGAGGA
rnacentral:misc_RNA from 1 species